GCCCCGGUAGCUCAGUUGGCAGAGCGGCGGCCUCGUAAGCCGCAGGUCCCGGGUUCGAGCCCCGGCCGGGGCUCCA
rnacentral:tRNA from 2 species